CAGGCCACACGCAGCGCUCUCAUCCUCGCCCAUGGCAGCUUGGCGCUGCGUGCCUCCAAGGAACAGCUGCUUGCCCGCCUGGAGGGAGACAUCGUGGGCAACAUCCUGCUGCUCUACAGCUGCAGCUGCCGGGACCUGCAGAACACGCUUGCGCUGCUGCAGAGCAUCACUGACUUCAGCUCUGCCUUCCAAGCUGUGGGUGACUCUGCCUGCUUCAACCCCUCCUUGAAGGGCAAGCUGCUGGAGAUCCUGACGGUGAGGGCCUAGAGCCAGAGCUGUCUGCAGUGGAGUUUUGGGCUGUGCCAUGAGGCUCGGUUCCCCGGAGCCACACAGGUCUCCCCCGGGCACACGUCUCCAGCUGGUGGGGACCUUGUGUGCUGGCAGGCAGCGGCUGGGCAGCGGGCUUGGUCCACCAGCUGUGCAGCUGC
rnacentral:lncRNA from 7 species